rnacentral:rRNA from 1 species
UUUUUUUAUCUGCUCAGAGCGAACGCUGGCGGCAGGCCUAACACAUGCAAGUCGAACGGAUCCUUCGGGAUUAGUGGCGGACGGGUGAGUAACACGUGGGAACGUGCCCUUUGGUUCGGAACAACUCAGGGAAACUUGAGCUAAUACCGGAUAAGCCUUUCGAGGGAAAGAUUUAUCGCCAUUGGAGCGGCCCGCGUAGGAUUAGCUAGUUGGUGGGGUAAAGGCCCACCAAGGCUACGAUCCUUAGCUGGUCUGAGAGGAUGAUCAGCCACAUUGGGACUGAGACACGGCCCAAACUCCUACGGGAGGCAGCAGUGGGGAAUCUUGCGCAAUGGGCGAAAGCCUGACGCAGCCAUGCCGCGUGAAUGAUGAAGGUCUUAGGAUUGUAAAAUUCUUUCACCGGGGACGAUAAUGACGGUACCCGGAGAAGAAGCCCCGGCUAACUUCGUGCCAGCAGCCGCGGUAAUACGAAGGGGGCUAGCGUUGCUCGGAAUUACUGGGCGUAAAGGGAGCGUAGGCGGAUAGUUUAGUCAGAGGUGAAAGCCCAGGGCUCAACCUUGGAAUUGCCUUUGAUACUGGCUAUCUUGAGUACGGAAGAGGUAUGUGGAACUCCGAGUGUAGAGGUGAAAUUCGUAGAUAUUCGGAAGAACACCAGUGGCGAAGGCGACAUACUGGUCCGUUACUGACGCUGAGGCUCGAAAGCGUGGGGAGCAAACAGGAUUAGAUACCCUGGUAGUCCACGCUGUAAACGAUGAGUGCUAGUUGUCGGCAGGCAUGCCUGUCGGUGACGCAGCUAACGCAUUAAGCACUCCGCCUGGGGAGUACGGUCGCAAGAUUAAAACUCAGGAAUUUUUUGGCGGGAAAA